rnacentral:lncRNA from 1 species
UCCUGGAUGAUUCCUCCACCACAUGGACAAACUGUUGGAAUCCCAAACUCUGCAUCGGCUACGUGGUAAAGGCGGUCGAUAAGCUUCUUGUUUCUCUUCUCGUCGCUGUAGGUCGGGUCCAUAGUCGCUGUAGCAAAGAAAGUUCACAAAUUUGAAGAGAGAGAGAGGAAUGUCCCAAGAGAGAGAGACAGAAUAGAAAUAUGUGAAAUGAAAUUCAAAAUGGGGGGAAGUUCGAAUUUUGGUGAAUUUGGGUAUUGGGAGAAAAUUCAAAUUUGAAUUAUAUUACAACUGAGAAAAAGGGAAAUAUAAUAUUAUUUAAGUAUUACACGCAGAAAAUGGGGCUAUCCUUCACGUGUGGAAUUCGGUCACGUGCCGCCGCCAAUAGCUAAUAUCCAAUAACGCGUGGACAUAUGUCAUUUCUUCAUAUGAGGUUUGAUACGUUUUUGUUAGUAUGACAGUUAUACACACUCUCAGUAGUUGUACAUUUCCGAUUUUAACCAAAAAACUAGUUAUACUUAUAUUAAAUAUGUAAUUAUGUAGUUGAACUUUUCACAAGUACUACUUAAUUUGUUGCCCCAUCAUGUUCAUGUAAUCAGAUUUCGUUUUCGCUUUUUUACGUUCUGUUCGAUGCCUUAUGUGGUUACUCAUUGUGAACUCUUCAUAGAACUAUGAUGUGUAUUAUGAGAAAACUUGUUUCAAAGUUCAAAUAUUUAUAAAUUGCUUAUUUUGGCUAGUUUAAAUGUUAAUCAUAACAUAACUAUGCAUACAAUCUACAAGAAUGUAAUUGAUUUCAUAUAAUUUGGUGUAUAUGAACUCGAUUUCAUGGUUAUUGUAAUUUGAAAUUAGUUUACCGAACCGAUAAAUACCGAAAUCUAGAACCAAAACAGAAUGUAUUCAUAUAUUUUAAUAAUAUAUUAAUUUAGAAUGUCUGAAAAAGGUCAUGUCUGAUAAAUGUAUAGUCAUUACUCUACUUACGGUGUCUGGCCCACAACCCUUUAUCUGAUAAAGUAAAAAGUAACUGAUUGUAACUGAUACAUGUCUAUUUCUCACGGAAUCUCAUUUUCCGAUGAAAUGAAACAGAACAUUCUCACUCGUUUUCCAUAAUUGUUAGAAAAGCCUUGGACACAUAAAAUUUUCUUUAUUUUUAGGACGAGAGACAAGCAAACCCAAAACCAAGAGCUGAAAAUAGUUGAACAUAGUUGUACCAAGUUAUUCAUACUAUUACAAAUUAAAAUGGUUAACUAUUGUGGAGUGAGAACAUAGUUAUGUUGUAACGUUUUUCUCCGGAAAUUAUUUUCUCUUCUGACAAUGCUUCUGAUUUUUUAUAUUUUAUUUUUUUAUCCAUUACAAAUUUGUAAUAGGUUCCGUUAUUUCACCACAUUUCAAUUUCCCUGCAUGUCGAUUCCAGCACUACAACAAGUGCUGUGAGCUCUGCUUCCUCUACAUGCAUUACCAAUGUGCGAAGAAUUUACUACUUCUGUAACUGACUACUAGCUGGGAAUGGCUACAUAUCCGUUGGAACUAGUUAUGUUUGUGUUAUCGAUUAGUUAAAAACUCCGUAUUCUGCUUGUAGUCAACUUCUUUUUACUAUGAACUAAUUUUCUAUUGUUGUUUAGUAUGAACUGUUUACUUAACUACGUAUGACUAUGAACUAUUUACUAUGAAAUGAAACAGAGCAUUCUCACGUAGUUGUACCAAUUUAUUCUCACAUAGUUGUACCAAUUUAUUAAUAAGCUUACAAAUUAAAAUUGUCAUCUGUCCUGAGUACUAGAUCCACCCUGAGUAUUGCCCUCAGGAUUACUGGCAUUGAAAUAUUGCCACCAGCCUCCACCAUGGGUAUUACCAUGCGCAUUCCCUUCAGGAUUACUGGCAUUGAAAUUUGGAUCCCUGCCUUCAUUCCCCUGAGUAUUACCAUGUGCAUUCCCGACUCCAUCCUCAGUAUUACCCUGCCUUUUCUUACGCUUAUUACUUGGCCUUGGCCCACGCUCUCCAACCGAUGCAAAUCUUCUCUGUUGCCUUCUUCCAGCUUUUUUCGGGACCUCAAGUGGUUUUGGGGCAGUCUUCUUUUUGAUAUCAUCUGGAAUUACCCAUUGUGAACGAUGAGGAACAGGGUAUACCGUCCUGGCAUAUGCUAGUGCCCACAAUUCCGUAGUAUAAUACUUCGAGCACAAAUCAUACGAGUGGAUGUCCUCACUUCUAUCUUUCCUGGCCAUAAAAAUUCUCACUGCAGCAAGUGCAUGGACGCAAGGAUAUUUGUCUAUAUCAAAUCAUCUACAUGAACAAGAUUUGGUUUUCAAGUUCACCAGAUAAGUCUUCCCAUCUCCACCAACUACAGCGUAUUCAAGCAGAUUCGAGUUCAGCUCAGUCACAUUUAGGGACUGAGCAAUUUCAACUCUCCCAUGUAAGAUAUUUUCGACAUAGGGAACCAGUUUAUGUGCUCCAGGUGCUGUAGCAGCGUCCUUCCUAUGUUUACACCACUCAGAUACCUUUGACAAGAUGGCAUCCAUCAUAGAUAAUAAAGCAUACUUCUUCGCAUCAUCAAACACGCUGUUCAUAGACUCUACACAGCUACUAGUGUCGAUGUUGUACCUUUCUCCCAAAAAAUAGCACCUUGCCAAUUUUUCCUCAAGCAAACUAUUACAUAAAUAUGUAAUUGCAUCCGGAUACCUUUCUCCCAAUUGACCAUAAGCCACAAGAAACUCAGCCUCUGUAUACUUCCUCGCAAUUUCCAUGAACUUGCCUACAACUAACUCUUUCUCUCUCCAAAAGUUCUUUUUCACAUUCUGGGCCAAAUGAUAAAUGCAAUAACCAUGCUUAGCUUGCGGGUACACAUCCCUUAUUGCAUUGAUCAGACUUACAUUCCUGUCAGAAACAAAUACCAAUUCAGAACUGUCAGGUAUACGGGUUUUAAGUUUAGUGAAGAACCAGUUCCAACUAUCAUUAUUUUCCCCAUCAACUACCCCAAAAGAAAGAGGAUAAUGGUGGUGAUUCGGAUCCUGAGCUGUUGCGAAUACAAGGCAUCCACCAAAUCCAUUCUUCAAAAAAGUUGCAUCAACAAUUAUCACUUUCCUCAUUGCCACAAACCCUUCUAUGGUAGGACCCAGAGCGACGAAUAGGUACUUGAAUCUUCCUAACUCAUCCACUUCAACACUUGAUGUCGUACCAGGAUUAAACUGCUCUAGCACAUACAAAUACAAAUGCACUCGAAACUCUCUUCUGGAGUACCACGAACAUAACUUAUAGCUUUCUGUCAGCCUCUCCAUGCCGUAGAGUAUGAUACCUCCACACGACCUCUAGUUUGAACCAAAGCCAUGAUAUCUCUAGGAGGUGGUGGUUUUAAUCGACCUGGGUAAGUUUUACUAACAACGCCUGCAACUAACCCAGGUGUGCCUUUCCUUCGUUUGCUGCUAGUACACGCAGAAGCCCGAGAGCAAGAAUGCAUUUUCCUAUAUACUCUAACCGUGAAAAUAUGUGAAUGAGCUGUCUUAGCGGCAUUUAUAUACCAGUUACAUCCAGUUUCAGCUUGACCGCAUUUCACAUAGUAUCGUUUCUUAUCAGACUUGUGUACAGUGAUGCCAAAACAAUGUUUAUGAGAACCUCUGUAAACUAAAUCUAUUAGCUCCUGCUUACAGCUAAACUCUGCACCAACUCUCAGUUUCAAACCGUCUGCCCAUUCACGUUGAAUACGUUGUUCUUCUACACAGUCUGGAGGAUCAACAAUACAAGCAUUCGAUAUAUUUGACUUAUGUCAUCUUGAUCUCCACCGUUUUCCUCAUUCUCACGAGAUAGAUUAACACCUUCGUCAUUCCCCAUUACUGGCACAUGUUGUUGUUCUGUUGAACCGUUUCCUGUGUACAUAACAAUAGCACCAUCAUUAAACUCAGCAUUGCCGACAAAAACGCCAUCACUCGCUAUAUCAUUAGCUGCGCUCACCUCCUUGACAUUCACAACAACAGGACUUACCCUCUCUACACGUGAAACUUGCUCGGCCACCUCAGACACUCCAUCUACAUUGAUGACCUCUACAUACAAGACACUUCUGCGUCCCUCAUUAUCAAAAGACAUCAGAUAGAUACCGAGAUCAUCGUCAUUCAAAAUAUACCACUGUUUCUUCGUUUGCACUACUACCGGAAUAUAACUCAGUUUCAACUUUGUGGAUGAUUCUCCUAUCCCAACCUUCUUGCAUAUCCUACCCACUAAAUCAGAAUAGCUUAUUUCCUCUAAGCCUGAUGUCUUAAACAUUAUACCGUACAUGGAACCUUCUCUUGAAAUCCAUUUAUCAUCGGUACAUGAAUAAUGUCCUCCAUAAUCAAACAAUAUGUUUGUUAUCAUUGUGUUCUGAAAAAAAAAUUAUAUACUUAACUCAUUAAUACCAAUUGUUCCGAGUUAUACGAAAACUCCUACUAUAACCAAAUUGUCCCCCAGUUAUAAUCGGCGAAUUUGGUGUACAAACUAAAUCUCAUUACGAUUAAACCUCACCAGUCAAUUAAAAGAGCAUAUGCGACCCAAUGUGAAUAAAAAAAUUAAAUCUCCCCAUUCUGAAUUGUCCUAUUUUGUAAAUCAAAAUUGUAUCCAAAACCCAAUUGUUCCUGGGCAAAAUAAUCAUUUAGCGACUUCACAAGAAAAUACAGACGCCGAGAAUGAAAAAAAACUUACCUCGUCCUUCGGCGUUGGAAUGGAAGAGUAAAAGCCCUGUCUAAUUUCCCGAAGAGAGCGAGGAGAUGUUGCAUGAAAACCCAGUUUUCUGAUUUCAGCAAACCCAGGAAAGUAGAAUAAGACCAAGAUCGACCAGAUUUCUGAUUGGCUUAAAAUUUGGUCCGAAACGUUUUAAUUGGCUGAAACUUCCCUAUUUCCUAUUGGUCGACAUUUCAAGCCAGCACUUUUGAUUGGUUGAAACUAACACUUUUGAUUGGUUGAAAUUAUCAUGAAUCCCAAUUAUUCAUUUUAGUUAUUGCCCCACCAAUAUGGGGAUUGGGCUUCUUGUUGGGCUUUUUCAUUAAUGGAAAUUUCGAGAAAAAAGGGUAAUAUAAGGAUAACAAGUUUCAUUGAAAUGUUUUUAUUGGCUGAAAUUUCCUUCUUUCUUAUUGGUUGACAAUUCCCACCAAGACUUAUGAUUGGCUGAACAUUCUUAAUUCUCAUUGGUCGAUUAUUCAUUUUCCUAAUUCACAGUUAAGGGUAAUAUGCGGAUAACACAUUUCAUUAAAAGGAAGGAAGACCACCGCUGGUAUGAGAGAAUAACUUGGGCAGGGUAGAAUAAAUCAUCACUACUUACUGGCAGAUGAAAAUUUCUUCCACUUGAACUUACGUUCUACAUUGAACCCCUGCGGGUUACCCUCUCUCAUUCCAUAUGUGUUCCUUAUAUAGUGAUGACACAAAAAAGAACCUGUGCAAAACCUAACGCAAAGGCUUCUCUUCAAGUCGCCAAACCGCUCCUUUAAUCACGUUUGCAAUCUUGGACAAACAGACCUUUAACAUUUGAAAUCACCAGAGGACAAGAAGUACUUGCGCUUGUUUGCCAAGUAGCUGCCUCUUCUGUCUGUGGUCCCAAAAGCAUGUCUAACUCUAUUUUCAUUUACCUCAACCAGAGUUAAACUUUAGUUUCACCAAGGUAAGUUUGACCUUAUCUCCAUUUGCUUGACCAUCACGAUUUCAUCUUCACAAAUCUCCACCUGAAAUCAUGAUGCAUAAGCAAAAAUACCUGCACACACUGAGAGAGAGUACCUUCGAAUCUAGUUCCGGAUUCCAGUCUCGGAUUCCCUGAGCUUAUCUUGCUCAAUCCACACUGCAUUUCACUUAUGUUCGAUGCACUUCAGCUGUCAACGUUCACACUGCUGAACCUGAGCCACCAAGGCUUCGUUUAAUCACCAGAGUUGUGAAAACCAGCUUCAAUACAGACUUGUAUUAAGCUCAACUCUCCACUGAUCAGUCCAUGACGCUUUCAAAUCUUGAAUGCCUGAAAUAACUGCUCAGCGAACCCCAUUAACCAGUUUAGACUUGCAUUAAACCAAUUAACCGCAACAGAAUUCUCCAUAAGCUCCACCACUUAUGAAUUCUUCAUAAGCUCCACCACUUAUGAAUUCUUCAUAAGCUCCACCACUUAUGAAUUUUCCAAUCACACAAUAUCCUCCGUGGCUUCUGUCUGUACCACUGACUUGAAUUGUGACUGAAAAAAAAACAUUAAUCCUCUAACAUCUUGAUUCCCUUGCUAGCCUUUGAGUUCAGACUCAUGUGCACUGUGAUAAGAACCAUUUGAAUUACUUGAAUCAAAUGCAGAAAACAGAACCAACUUUGUUUCAGAACUUGAAACCCUUCUGAUUCAACCUUGUAACAAUCUCAACAGCUUCUUACGAACCACUGUAUAACCUGAGAUCAACCUGUUUAAACAAACAACACUUGAACACCUUGUUUGUCAACAGAACAUCCACCAGCAGAUUUUAAACACUACUAGGGACCUUAAAACUCGUCUCAUAUGAUCAUAAACUUGUGAUAGCCUUGAGACGACCAUGUACCGCUACUCCCGCAUUAAAUAUUGAACCUUCGAUGCCUCUUUUAGCCAUAAUACCCUGCAAUACUUCAACCAGUAUACAGACUUUACCAAAACGACUUGAACCUUGCAUCAUUCAAUUCCAGGCUUACACUGAAAUCUUUCUCUUCUUUUUCAUCACUCGAUACUUGAAGAUACUUCACUUGAAUGACAUGCAACUUAGUUGUUUUUUUUUUUCAAAUGCAAUUUCAAUUCUCUGCAUUUGUAUCAUUUCUAGGACUGCUUGGUUGCAUAUUUCAGCUUUGAGAUGACUUUAUUACCUUGAGACAAAACCUGCAACACCUCCACUUGUCUCUUUUUUCUGUAGAGAACCCGCUGAACAACUUCAAUAACUUCAUCUCAAUAUACGAGUCUCCUCUGAAAUUUCCUGAAGAAUGCAACUCUUUCCUUGAAAUCUGAAACUCUCUUCCAGAAAACUGCAACUCCUCCUGAGUGUCCUCACCAACAAGUUGAUGACCAAUUGUUCUUGACAUUCUUUUCUUCUUCGCAACACAGAGCUUCCAUGGAUCUUUUCCAACAGAGAUACUCCUCUAACUCUCCCUUAGGCUAACAGAAAAUUCUUAGAUCAUUGAGGAUCUAAUCUAAUCUGUCACCUUAUGAGCGUAGCUCCACCACAGUCAUUAGUACUAGAAGAACCGCCAUGAACUUCAAUAUGUUUCAGCAGCUUGAGCUCUCUUUAUCUCGAGCAUCUUCAUGACAUGAUAAUGUAUCAACUUAAAUUGAUACACCAUUGAACCAUGCUUCUAUCACAGAAUUCACAAACUUAACCUUGUAUCCUCUUGCAGCCAAAAAACACAACUCAUACUGAUCUUGUACCGCUGAAAUAAUUAGAACACGCCGCCUAACUCUCCUUGCUAGGAAGACUUUCGAUACUAGACCAUAGUAUAUCCCGUUGCACAACAACAUUGAGAGACAUCUUUCAUGAAACAUGACGUCUCCAAUCUCUUUAGCUUUAAGACCAUCAGAUUCUUCUUCCUUGAAGAUCUGAACCAAAUACAAGAUAUUCCUUGAAAAUUUCCUGCAAAACAAUGCUCCACCUGAGAUAAGAACUCCUUGUUCUCUCAGAUUUACGCCAGCAGAAUUUCCAUGUAUUAAACACAACACUGCACAACCGUAAACCUGUGCUACUGCCAUCUUUCCAAGAAUUUAUACCCUUGAAACAAGAACUAGGACACUUUCCAGCUUACACCCGGGCUUACACUAUACGUGUCUUUCACCAUCUGUCUCAACAGACAUUUUUUCAGUUCCAGCACACAUCUGUAUCAACAACUGCUACAGACUCAGCAACCUUAUGUCAUCUUCUCUGAAAUAACCUUGUAGCUGCGAUCUCUGAUGAUCCACCGACUGUAGAGUGUAGACUCUUAGAUUCACAAGAAGCUAACCUCUUAAUACUUAGACAGAACUCUGCAACAAAUCCUCUUCAAAACUCAACCAACCACUGAAGUCUUGUCUUUAACCCAACAAAUGACCUGAUUUAUUGCUUCCAUUCUGCAUUUUCCUUUCACAGCUGAAUUCCAGAAAACUCUUUAUUGAUACUUGACAGCCCAAUACCCAUAAAAUUCAAGCUUAUAAGGCGUACCUUAAUACCAUGAACUUUAUGAGUUUCCGAGGGUAUCAUCCCAACAGUAAUUGAACACCAACUGUAGCAGACUUCACCAAACUGAUUCAAUCCCAAAAUACAGCAUGAAAACCCAACACUGAAUCUUGGCCAGUCCCUUGUAAAAUCAGUACAUAACCUUGUGUUCCACCCAGCUUUCACGUCCUUUGAAUAUGCAGAUCUUUGGGAAACCAGAAACUUCAGUUUAGAGUAACACACAACACACCUUGUGUAGCAGCGGAAGAAGACUUAAACUCUCCAAAAUUUGAGUUUUGAGAAAAACGAAUGAUUCUCAUCCAAUGAGUUGAGUCAAAGAACCCCGACUCACACAUUUCCAGGAUCUGAAUCCAACUUCACCUGAUGAAACUUUCAUCUUGCUUACAGAGCUUGUCUUGAUUACGAGCUUCACCAUAACCACCCUUUGAUGCCUUUUUCCUUCUUCUUCUUCUUAGACAGGAAACCAUUGACUUUUACCUUCCUAAACCUGAACCGAACUGAUACUGCAGAACCUCCACCUCAAAUCAACUUACCUCUGAUUUAACUCUCCACAUAUCAAGAAAACCAUCUUUAAUAAUGUGAAUUCAGCAUCAGUCUUUGAAUGUUGUUAUGGAGACAAAUUUAACCACCACAGAAAUCCACUUUAGGUUCACCUGAAGUGUUAUUGUUUCCACCAUGAUUUUUCCUUUUACUGCCCACCUCCAAAAUUCUCCUUUCCUUCACGGUCGUGAAGUUGCAGAACCAAGAACUCAUUAUCCUUUAGUAAACAAGAUAACAAAAUCUUCUUCAUAUGGCAUGGAUUUCAUUGAAGCCCAAACUCAGAACUUUGCUGGGAAAAAUAAUAGGCCCAAGAAUAAUGUUGACUAAAGCCCAAGUCAACUCUACACUUCUUCUCCUUUCUUUUCCGACGAGAACACUGAUGCGAAAGAAUGGCUGAGAAGCCAUAGAUUAGAAAAAAAAUCUCUUAUGCCACAAAUGAGUCUGAGUGCCAUAAUAGGUGUGAUAUGCCCAUUUUACCCUUAAUGAAGGGAGAUGAUGGCAUUCUUGAAUUGUGAUGAUUUUUGGUGUUUGAAAAAAAAAUCGAGUUAAUUGAAAAUAGAAAAUUGAAAUCGAAAAACCAAACCAACAAAUCAAUUUCGGGUAUUAUCAGAAUUUCUGGGUAUAUUGAACCGAAAAUUAGGGAAAUCAAAAUCAUCCUGCGUCUCUAAACCCUAAACGCUCAAACGAACACCCUAAACCCAGAUAUCGUUCGAUCUGCUCGAAUCUUGUAAACUGUUGCGUAUUUUCGUUCGUAGCGGUGCGCCGGCGUCCUUUGAAGUCGGGUUAUUCUCCGUAACUGGUUUCUCCUCCGCCAUUUCGCUUUUAGGUGAACAUAUUCUGUAUUUUGGAGAUUUUUCAAUCGAUUUGUCAAUUUCGGUUUGUUUAGGUUACACAUUGGAUAGUUAAGUUACUUAUAUAGGUUGAUUUAGUUUUCUCUGUGUUAAAAUGUAACGAGGUGCGGUAGAAUCGAUCUGAAUCGAGCUGAAUCGUACAAAUAGUGAAUCUGUGGGAAACGGGACAACUGGUACAAUUGGUAACUGAAUGAAAUGGGACAACUGGUACAAUAGAGAUAACUUAAUGAAUUAGGAGAAGUGGUAUAAUUGGGAUAACUAAAUGAAAGGGGACAACUGGUACAAUUGGGAUAACUGAAUGAAAUUGGACAACUGGUACAAUUGGGAUAACUGAAUGAGAUAUGUGGGACAACUGGUACAAUUGGGAAAACUGAAUGAAAUGGGACAACUGGUACAAUUGGGAUAACUUAAAGAGAUAUGUGGGACAACUGGUACAAUUGGUAUAACUGUGAGUAAAUUUUAAUUUUCUGUAAAUCGUAAAAGCCUUUUUUUUUGUAUUUAUGAACAGAAGAGGAUGAGCGGCCACACAAACAUACAUUUUGAGUAUGGAGGAUGUUAUUUUAAGGAAAGAGAAGAGUUUAAAUGGAUUUCAAGGAGUUCCAUCUAUGCUAUAUCAUUUAAAACAUCUAUCGACGAGGUAACCUAUUCGAUGGUUGUAGAUGGUAUAUGCAAGAAGAUUGGGAUAAACGAUAGUACGAAGAAGCUCAAGUUAAGCUACAUUCCAUUGGUAGCUAAGCCACGCAAUGAGUCACGUAUUGUUGAUGAUGGUGAUGUGUAUGUCUAUCUAACAACUCUGGACAAAGAGGGACUUAGAUCUGUGUUGAAUGUGGAGAUAAUGGAAGAUCAGAGUGAUGAGCUAGCAACAGGGGAUAAUAUGCUUGAUAUUGAGGAAGGGAUGACUACUUACACACCGGUAGAAGCAGGGAAAGAACAGAAUGAACUUGCUAUUGUGGUCGUGGCUGAGACUGAGAAACAGAUGGUGAUCGAUGAUGUUGUUUCAAAACCGGAUGAUCAUGCACAUGUAGAGCCUGCAGAGUAUAUUAUGGAUGAGGAUGAUCACGUAGAGCCUGCAGGGCGAGUAGAACCAACUCAGCAGUUUGUUCUUGAAUGGGAUGAUGGUGCUGGUUUUGAGAAACAUCAAGAAUUUAGGUCGAAAGAGGCGUUGCGAGUAUUGGUUGACAGAGCUUCGCAUAAGGGAUGUUUUGAGGUAAAAACUGUGAAGUCUGAUCCUGGGCGACUCAUUCUAAAAUGCCGUCAAGCUGAACAUGGUUGUUCAUGGUAUUUACAUGCUGUAAGAAUGAAGGAUUCAACUUAUUUCAGCCUUAGAGUUUACAGGAAUAAGCAUUGUUGCUCUCGGGUCCUUACCAGCACACUUGAGAAUAAAAGAAAAGGCACUCCACAAGUAGUAGCAGAUGUUUUGCGUGCUUCGUAUCCAGGUGUAGUGGAUACACCCGCUCCUAGAAAUAUAGUAAAUGUUGUUCAAACUGAAGCUCAUGUGAAUGUGUCGUACUCUACUGCAUUGAGAGGGAAAAAACUCGCUAUUAGUCAAGUGAGGGGUAGUCCGGCUGAGAGCUUUCAAAGAUUGCAUUCUUAUUUGUACAUGCUGAAGCUGGUGAACCCCGGUACAGUGACGAGCGUGGAAGUGGAUGCUAAUAAUAAGUUCAAGUAUCUUUUUGUGGGUUUAGAUCAAUGAGAAAAGUCAUAGUUGUGGAUGCAACAUUUCUUAAGAAUGUUUAUGGUGGUAUGCUCGUAUUUGCCACAGCUCAGGAUCCUAAUCAUCACCAUUAUCCCAUUGCAAUGGGUGUAAUCGAUAGUGAGAAAGAUGCUAGUUGGAGGUGGUUUUUAGAGAUGCUCAAAACUGUUAUACCAGAUAAUCCUGAGAUUGUUUUUAUGAGUGACAGACACACAAGCAUAGCGAAGGCAGUGCAAGAGGUGUACCCUCAGUCUCAGCAUGGAUUUUGUGUUUGGCACCUGUCUCGGAAUGUGAGGGUUAAAGCAGCCAAUGGUUGGAAAGAUUUGCGCUCAAAAAAAUUCAUUGACUGCGCUCACAAGUACACCGAAAGUGAGUUUCUAAGUGCAUAUACCGAAUUUGGUAGAAUGUUUCCCAAAGCUUCGAGUACUUAGAGAAUGGUCUUCCUCUCGAGAAAUGGGCAAGGUGCUACUUCAAAGGAGACAAGUAUAACUUGGACACAAGCAACGCCUGUGAAUCUAUGAACAGUGUCUUCAAGAAAGCUAGAAAGUAUGCAUUAUUGCCGUUGAUUGAUGCGUAUAUUGAAAAAGUAUCUGAGUGGUUCAACAGGCAUAGAGAAGACAUUGCUGGUGCAUCGUAUUCGAAGAAAUUGGUGCCGUAUAUAGUGAUGACACAAAAAAGAACCUGUGCAAAACCUAACGCAAAGGCUUCUCUUCAAGUCGCCAAAACCGCUCCUUUAAUCAUGUUUGCAAUUUUGGACAAACACACCUUUAACAUUUGAAAUCACCAGAGGACAAGAAGUACUUGCGCAUGUUUCCCAAGUAGCUGCCUCCUCUGCCUGUGGUCCCAAAAGCAUGUCUAACUCUAUUUUCAUUUACCUCAACCAGAGUUAAACUUUAGUUUCACCAAGGUAAGUU